UUCACCUUCUUUACCACAUUAUCUAACUUUCAGGCAUCAAGACUGGUAGCAUUUUAGCCUAUUUUUCUUCAACUUGUAGAGGAAAGAUAAGGGAACAUUCUGAACCAAUCAACGACUCUAUAACCAUGGCAGUACGGCAGUUAGGAGUAGUCCAAUAUGAAAAUUUAAUUUUUCGUCUUCUUUACCACAUUAUCUAACUUUCAAGCAUCAAGACUGGUGGCAUUUUAGUCUAUUUUUCUUCAACUUGUAGAGGAAAGAUAAGGGAACAUUUUGAACCAAUCAACGACUCUAUAACCAUGGCAGUAAGGCAUCAAAACUGGUGGCAUUUUAGUCUAUUUUUCUUCAACUUGUAAAUGAAAGAUAAGGGAACAUUUUGAACCAAUCAACGACUCUAUAACCAUGGUAGUACGGCAGUUAUGAGUAGUCCAACAUGAAAAGUUAAAUUUUCGUCUUCUUUACCACAUUAUCUAACUUUCAGGCAUCAAGACUGAUGGCAUUUUAGUCAAUUUUUCUUCAACUUGUAGAGGAAAGAUAAGGGAACAUUUUGAACCAAUCAACGACUCUAUAACCAUGGCAUCGGGACUGGUGGAAUUUUAGUCUAUUUUACUUCAACUUAUAGAGGAAAGAUAAAGGAACAUUUUGAACCAAUCAACGACUCUAUA